AAUCCGGUCUUACGCAAUGGGAAUCUACGAACCGUGUCAGGUUGGGAACAAAGCAGCACUAAGUAGAACCUCCCAUGUGCCGUAAGGGCGCCGGGUGGAG
rnacentral:SRP_RNA from 1 species